AACACAUGCAAGUCGAGCGGUAGAGAGAAGCUUGCUUCUCUUGAGAGCGGCGGACGGGUGAGUAAAGCCUAGGAAUCUGCCUGGUAGUGGGGGAUAACGUUCGGAAACGGACGCUAAUACCGCAUACGUCCUACGGGAGAAAGCAGGGGACCUUCGGGCCUUGCGCUAUCAGAUGAGCCUAGGUCGGAUUAGCUAGUUGGUGAGGUAAUGGCUCACCAAGGCGACGAUCCGUAACUGGUCUGAGAGGAUGAUCAGUCACACUGGAACUGAGACACGGUCCAGACUCCUACGGGAGGCAGCAGUGGGGAAUAUUGGACAAUGGGCGAAAGCCUGAUCCAGCCAUGCCGCGUGUGUGAAGAAGGUCUUCGGAUUGUAAAGCACUUUAAGUUGGGAGGAAGGGCAUUAACCUAAUACGUUAGUGUUUUGACGUUACCGACAGAAUAAGCACCGG
rnacentral:rRNA from 1 species